UUGCUUUAUUUUUGAACACAGCAGAGUUCAAUAUUAUCAAAUGUUUGUCAGUUUCCUUACAAAUAUGAAGACUGCAUACUGAAUGACACAGAAACAGGUAAGAAUAAAGUAAUCUUCUCUCUAACACUUUAAAUGUUAGGGGUGGACCACAUCGGACCCUUCACGAAAUCCAGGAAUGGCAACAGCUGGUGUCUAACGGCAACCGAUUACUUCACCAAGUGGGCGGAGGCAAUACCCAUUAAGGUCAGUGAAGGAAGAGAAUGUGCUUAACUCUAAAUUCACUUCUGUAACCCAUUAAAAAAGGGUGCUUGGAACCAAAAAAAGCAGUUUUCAUGUUGCAUGAUACCCAUCAAGGACAAGAAUGGUGAGGCCACCUCCAAGGCGAUGACAGACAUCUUCAACACCCACAGUGCUCCUGAGGUCAUCUUGAGUGACCGAGGUCGUGAACUCUGGAACAAGAACAACAAAGCCUUGUUCGAGGACUGGGGUGUGAAGCACCGGUUCUCCGAUGCAUAUCAUCCACAGACAGACCAACGGUUUGUUUUAGUUUUUUUUACAAUUCGUUUUUAGUGUUUUUCCAUGGUACAUAAUCAGACUGAUCUUACAUUGUCUAUAAAUAUCCCUUUCCUACCUCCUCCUCCAGGUUUGGAUGAACGGACCAACCAGACCCUCAGGACUGCCAUGGGCAAGUCCCUUGACGGGUACCAGGAAUGGUGGUGAGGACAACCUGAAGGUAAUUCUCUUUGCACACAACAGCAGUGUCUAGGCCUCCACCAAGUACUCACCCUAUUGCCUGUUGUACGGACGGGAGCUGCAGCUGUUGACUGCGGUAAACAAUGCAAUUGUAUAUACAAUUUUAUAAAAUUAUGGCAUAUUCUGUAAUCAUUCAAAUUUGUGAUUGACUUAAUGUGUUAUUGUUUGUCUAUUGCUAUUUUUGAAUAACAUACUUUCAGAUCACAGAAACUCCACCUGAUGUGGUGGAAGUUGUGAAACCAGAUCAGAAUGCCUUCGAGGACUACAUUCAGGCACAGGCUGAGAAGGUUUUUGACCAGGUACAUUUUUUUGUCUGCUGUUAAUUUAUUUUCUGGCCCUCCAAGAGAUUUGUAAGGUAUGUAUUUGUAAUAAUAUGAAAUAAAUUUGCAUUUAUUUCUGUUAUCAUUCAAGGUGAGACUGAACAUCGACAAUGUUCAGGAUGAGCAGGAGAGCUACCGGAGGAAAAUCAAGAAGAGGACCAUGUGCUUCGACAUCCGGGCGAAUGACUUGGUUUGGAAGAAGGAUGAAACGAAGGUGAGACCUGGGAAACCUCGUUGCUCUUUCGCUCCUAGCUGGAGUCAUCCUCCGUUAAGGUGAAUAUAAAGCAUCUCAGAUAAUAACUAUUUGAAUUUGCACCCAAAAUAACCUGAAGCUAGUCUAGUUUUCCUAACACUGACAUUUCUCUUUAUGUCUUCAUAAGGGUUACCUCGGUGGAAGCCAACAAUCUUCUCCAGUCGGAAGGUCGACAACUGAAAGCCCUGACGCCCUACACUUCGGUGAAGCCUGUGAGACAAAGAAUGUUAAGCGUUGGUUGACAUUUGAGAAAGCAAGACAUUUUUAGCUGAACUCAUAAAAAUGUACCUCCCCAAAUGACUUUAGGACCAUCAACUGUCCAAACCACACAGGAGGUAUCCCAUCCACCAGAGCCAGUGAGUUCGGAUCAGUCUGAUUCUCUGUGCUCUGAGUCAGAAGGGGACCAGCUUGAGGUCGGCUAUACUUUCAAAAUCUGUUGAAAACUACAUAUCUCUCCUUCAUAACAUUGCACUAAUCUGUCAAAUGUUCUCACAAGAGGCUUGUGUCCGACUGGAGGAACAGGGACAGGUAGGUUCAGUCACUGGACUAGAAGACACUAGUGAGGUUCUCAUCACUAGUGUCCAACAGGGGCAGGUAAGGCCAACUGCUCUCUCAGGCCGGAUGGAGGACCUCCGGGAGGGGAGG
rnacentral:lncRNA from 13 species